rnacentral:misc_RNA from 1 species
UAAAUCAGUUGAUUUAUUUGAAUACUUGUUUCUUUCAAAUUGCUUAUAGUUAUUUUUCAUAUUAUAGUACUUAAAUUGCUUUAUAUGGUAAUAUGUCUAUAAAAAUGUUCUUAAGGUCAUGCGAUGUGAUUUGAUGCCUCAAGUAAAUGUGGUGCCCUUCGAAUUUCUAUACUUAAUAAGUCAGAUACAGGGUAUUUUCUAUGGUUCCAUUCUUUUACUCUUUACCAAUACUUGUUGCAUUAGAUAUGAUAAAUUAUAAAUAUUUACAAUUAAUUGUGAGCAGUUUAAUUCUUUCAGUUUUCACUAUACAGAUAUUAUUGAUGUUUGUGUUUAUGACAAAAAAACUGACACCCUCGAAGGUAUUAUACCCAUCUACUUAUGUUACUAAGGAUUUUAAAUUUCCUCAUGCAUUUGUUAUAUUUAAAAGUGCGUUGUAUUGCAUCUCGUGAUUUAUGACAAGAAUACCUUAGUUGAAUAUAUUCAUCCAUUGCUUAACAUGACAUUUGAUAUUCUUUUUGUAAAUAUAUCCACAAGAAAGAUAUAUACUAGUAUGAUUUUAUACCUUCGCUUGAAAUCGCAAGCGGUUGAAAGAGAUCGUGUAUCUUAUGUAAGAUUAGAAAACAAAAUAUUACAAAAGAGAUCCUUAUUAUCAUAUUGAUUUGUCUCAAUUGUAUACGAAAAUGAAACUAGUCGCAUAUUUUUAAAAUAAAAUUUAUAACUUCCCCGAUAAAGGUUUUGGAAGUCUUUAUCAAGUGUAAAUUUACUUCUUUUACCGGUGGUUUUGCAUUAGUCCCUUGUUUACAUCUGUGAUAUAAUACUAGUAUGUGCAAUCGCCCUUAUUUUAUGUUGCUUUAUUUAUUUCAUUGUCUUAAAGUUUGAUUUGACUUCCAUGUUCAUAUUUUUGUUUAUAUUUUUGUAUGAAAAAUAUUGACGAAUUCAACAAUAAAAAGAACGUAU